UAUAUACAGACGCAUGCACUAACAUCAGACGGCAUGAGUCAGACAUUUAAAGAGAAGAUGAAAUGUUUUUUUUUUUUCAAGAAUUAAUAUCUCGAUUUCUUAAACAGAGAAGGCAUGCGUGAGAUUGUGAGGGUGUUUUUCUUAUGCAACAUCAGAGAAGCGGGAGGCUUAAGUACAAAUCUCUGUCCUGGAGAAUAAAUUGAGAUGUUAAAGAGAACUCAUUUGUGAUUUUUUUUUUUUUCCUGAGGGUGUUUUCACACUGUUUCAUUCUUCCCACAGAACAGACGGCUGCUCAAAAGCACCAGUUACGCUGCACGGUGUCAGGAACGAUAGAAAAGCAAUGCACUUCUUCUGCCGGUGCCCUUGAGAAAGAGCCGCAUAGAGUCGCGUGUAAGUGAGUGUUUGUGCAUGGACUCGUCUAGUCAUUGUUGCUGAGUUGUGUUUUCUGUGUCCCGUCUCCCUCCCGUCCUCGUCGAGUGGUGACGUACGGCUGUAGGAUGGACGACCGUGGUACUCAUUAAGAUCGGGAGCGAUAGAGAAAAUGGGAAAGAGAAAGAGCAGAGAGGAGAUAAAGCUUUUGCUUUUUGGAGUUGUUCCUCUUCAUUAUUUUCACUGACCUCUUAUUCUCUUUCUCUCUUUCUCUGUAUUUCUCUGUUUCUCUCAUCUUACAGCGUAAAUAUGUGAUGCAUCACUUUAGAGCCGAAUGGAUGCAGUGCCGAAUGAUUUUCUAGAGGACACUGGAAAGAAAGUCAUUAAUGUCCUCGGAUAACCCUGAAAAUGCUGGGAUCAGACUGGUCUGAUGAUGGUUAAUCCCUGGAAUGGAGUUUGGAGCUGAUCAUUGACACAUCACAUUUCCAGUGGCUUAACCUUUACCACCAGGCCCGUGUCUGACAUAGCGGAGCACAAAUGGAAGUGGGCAGCUAAAGCGUGGAGGAGUAAUGGCUUUAAAAUACUGCUGUGUGCUUGAGCCAGUGAGUAUGUGCAGCCCGGAGCCUGUCUGGAUCCCUCUGCCACCAUCCAUCUGAGAUCUGAGGUACUGGGGAACACUUGGGGAUGCUCAAACACGGUGAAGAUGACACAUGUGCUAACCACCGCCAAAGUAAUCUCUAUUUUAAACAUAUGGGGUGGUGUUUUCUAAGCAAAUCUAUAUUAGAUCUAUAUUAAGGGACAGUUCACCCAAAACCUUUGAGUUUAACACAAGGGAUAAAUUUAACACAAGAUAGU